AGCAGUGGGAGGAUAGUGAUUAUGCAUCUAGAGCAAGGCAGAAGAGUAGUGUGUUGGUAAUUACAAGUUACUAGGUAGGAAUAGAUUUAAGAUAUCCCAAUUGGUUUCUGAAAUACUACACAACUACUUUGAUAUUGCUAUGCAAGUCAACAUUCAGAUACUAGAAAGAACACUUACUUCCAACAAAGUAUGGACGGAUGAUGUCGCUGGGGAAGUUAGCAUUUAUCAUACGGUCGGGCUCUUUUAGGUGUAGCGCAAUUUUAGAGCCAACUUUCAAUGCAUAAAACUUAGAAAUUUCUGGCCGAAGUCCUAUAUCAAAAUAGGAAUGACAAUCUUCUUCAAGUUUUACACAAACAAUGAUUGUAAAUCCAUGGUUUGUGCUCAAUAUGAUAUCCCUAGAGUAAGAUUUAGCGAUACCGUUGUUUUUGCAAAGCGAGGAUCUACUGCGGGAAUUGAUCAGAUUUUGUUAAAUAAGAAGGUAACAUGCUAGUAGGGAGUAGUUAAAAGAACAGCAUAUCAGUUGAUAGAAAACGAACGGCCUAGAUAUAUAACUAUAGAAAAGACCUCAAAAGAACGGGUGUGAUUUUCUUGCAAUAAAUAGUCACAUAUUCAUGUCUACAAAUCCAGUAACGUUUCUACCUGCCAAGCAACACGAUGAGUCCACUGCAAAAAAAAAAAUGAUGAGUUGAUUUAAAAAAUAAAAACAAAGCGAUGGGUCAGAGUCCGAUUUCCAUAGGGCUCAUCCCACGCGGGCUAUGUAUCCCACGCGGGCAGCCGUAAAAUAAGAAUAAACAACAUAUACUG
rnacentral:lncRNA from 1 species